rnacentral:lncRNA from 1 species
CCAGGAUUGUUGAACAUGUUACCUUCUACAUUUUUCACUUUUAGCUUUUUUCAUCAAGUAUGGAACAGAUGACAAGUCCUAUAAGACCAACUUAUGCUUGAUGUCAAGAAAACCUUGCUAACUCUUAGAGCUGUCCAGAAAUGGAAUGGGCUGUCUCAAGACGUGAUGAAUUCUUCCUUAUUUGAGGUCUUCAAUCAGAAGCUGAUUGCUCACUUGUCAGCUAUGUGACUCUGGGCAAGUCUCACUGGACAAGACACUUAAUCUCCAUUGCCUCGUCCUUACCACUCUUCUGCUUUGCAACUGAGACUUAAUAUUGAUUCGACAACAGAAGGUAAUGGUUUUAAAAAUCAAAUCAAAUUAUUUUCCAAUUUGAUCUCUCUGCAUCUCUUGACACUUUUAUUAACUAGCCCCUCCAUCUGUUUCAGAGAUACCUGCAUUUUCUCUUCUUUCCUUAAUAAUUCCUUUUUUCUUUCUCACUGACUCCUCAUCUUUCUGAACUUUUAAACUGCAUAUUCCUCAAAAGUCUAUCCUUGAUCUUCUUUUCUUCUGAAGAUACUCCCUUGGCAAAUAUUCACUUCUAUUAAAUAAUAGCAGUUAAUAUGUAUUUAUUUGUGUUUCUAUAUUUAUAGUUAUGACUUCUCUUUUGAACCCAAUAGUUAUAUGUACAACCAUCUAUCAAAUAUCCCCAGGUGGAUUUCUCAUUAAGUACCUCAGAC